ACGGAGGAAAAGAAACUAACAAGGAUUCCCCUAGUAACGGCGAGUGAAGAGGGAAGAGCCCAAGAUUGAAAGCUGGCGUCUUCGGCGUCCGCAUUGUAAUCUCAAGAAGUGUUUUCCGCUUCGGACCAUGCCUAAGUCCCUUGGAAAAGGGCAUCAUAGAGGGUGAUAAUCCCGUACAUGGCAUGGAGCGCCCGAAGCUUUGUGAUACGCUUUCUAAGAGUCGAGUUGUUUGGGAAUGCAGCUCAAAAUGGGUGGUAAAUGCCAUCUAAGGCUAAAUAUUGGGGAGAGACCGAUAGCGAACAAGUACAGUGAUGGAAAGAUGAAAAGAACUUUGAAAAGAGAGUUAAACAGUACGUGAAAUUGCCAAAAGGGAAGGGUAGGAGGUCAGAGAUGCGUUCUGGGAUUCAGCCUUGCUUUUGCUUGGUGUUUUUCCCAAAUUGCAGGCCAACGUCGGUUUUGGGCGCUGGAGAAGGGUGGAAGGAACGUGGCACCCCUCGGGGUGUGUUAUAGCCUUCUACUGGAUACAGUGACCGAGACCGAGGACAGCAGCGUACUCGCAAGAGCGGGCCUUCGGGCACCUUUACGCUUAGGGCGUUGGCAUAAUGGCCCUCUACCACCCGUC
rnacentral:rRNA from 1 species